CUAAUGCAGUCGACGAGUUCUGAUUAUUGAAGGGUGCUUGCAUCUUGAUUUAAUUUUGAACGAGUGGCGGACGGGUGAGUAACACGUGGGUAACCUGCCCUUAAGUGGGGGAUAACAUUUGGAAACAGAUGCUAAUACCGCAUAAAUCCAAGAACCGCAUGGUUCUUGGCUGAAAGAUGGCGUAAGCUAUCGCUUUUGGAUGGACCCGCGGCGUAUUAACUAGUUGGUGAGGUAACGGCUCACCAAGGCAAUGAUACGUAGCCGAACUGAGAGGUUGAUCGGCCACAUUGGGACUGAGACACGGCCCAAACUCCUACGGGAGGCAGCAGUAGGGAAUCUUCCACAAUGGACGCAAGUCUGAUGGAGCAACGCCGCGUGAGUGAAGAAGGCUUUCGGGUCGUAAAACUCUGUUGUUGGAGAAGAAUGGUCGGCAGAGUAACUGUUGUCGGCGUGACGGUAUCCAACCAGAAAGCCACGGCUAACUACGUGCCAGCAGCCGCGGUAAUACGUAGGUGGCAAGCGUUAUCCGGAUUUAUUGGGCGUAAAGCGAGCGCAGGCGGUUUUUUAAGUUGAUGUGAAAGCCCUCGGCUUAACCGAGGAAGUGCAUCGGAAACUGGGAAACUUGAGUGCAGAAGAGGACAGUGGAACUCCAUGUGUAGCGGUGAAAUGCGUAGAUAUAUGGAAGAACACCAGUGGCGAAGGCGGCUGUCUGGUCUGUAACUGACGCUGAGGCUCGAAAGCAUGGGUAGCGAACAGGAUUAGAUACCCUCGUAGUCCAUGCCGUAAACGAUGAAUGCUAGGUGUUGGAGGGUUUCCGCCCUUCAGUGCCGCAGCUAACGCAUUAAGCAUUCCGCCUGGGGAGUACGACCGCAAGGUUGAAACUCAAAGGAAUUGACGGGGGCCCGCACAAGCGGUGGAGCAUGUGGUUUAAUUUGAAGCAACGCGAAGAACCUUACCAGGUCUUGACAUCUUUUGAUCACCUGAGAGAUCAGGUUUCCCCUUCGGGGGCAAAAUGACAGGUGGUGCAUGGUUGUCGUCAGCUCGUGUCGUGAGAUGUUGGGUUAAGUCCCGCAACGAGCGCAACCCUUAUGACUAGUUGCCAGCAUUUAGUUGGGCACUCUAGUAAGACUGCCGGUGACAAACCGGAGGAAGGUGGGGAUGACGUCAAAUCAUCAUGCCCCUUAUGACCUGGGCUACACACGUGCUACAAUGGAUGGUACAACGAGUUGCGAGACCGCGAGGUCAAGCUAAUCUCUUAAAGCCAUUCUCAGUUCGGACUGUAGGCUGCAACUCGCCUACACGAAGUCGGAAUCGCUAGUAAUCGCGGAUCAGCACGCCGCGGUGAAUACGUUCCCGGGCCUUGUACACACCGCCCGUCACACCAUGAGAGUUUGUAACACCCGAAGCCGGUGGCGUAACCCUCUAGGGAGCGAGC
rnacentral:rRNA from 2 species